UACGUAGGGGCCUAGCGUUGUCCGGAUUUAUUGGGCGUAACGAGCGUGUAGGCGGCUCGAUAAGUCUGCUGUGAAAGUCCAGGGCUCAACCCUGGAAGGCCGGUGGAAACUGUCGGGCUAGAGUCCGGAAGAGGCGAGUGGAAUUCCCGGUGUAGCGGUGAAAUGCGCAGAUAUCGGGAGGAACACCAAUGGCGAAGGCAGCUCGCUGGGACGUUACUGACGCUGAGACGCGAAAGCGUGGGGAGCAAACAGG
rnacentral:rRNA from 1 species